GCACCCAUAGGCUAAUUGGACAAACCCAAAGUCUUCUAAACUUUUAUUACAGGUUCGAGUCCUGUUGGGUGUGCCA
rnacentral:tRNA from 1 species